rnacentral:rRNA from 1 species
AGCGAACGUUAGCGGCGGGCCUAACACAUGCAAGUCGAGCGAGAAAAGGGCUUCGGCUCUUAGUAAAGCGGCGGACGGGUGAGUAACACGUAGGUAAUCUUCCCUUGAGCGGGGGACAACGAGCCGAAAGGCUCGCUAAUACCGCAUAAGUUUCCUGGGACUCUGGUCCUGGGAAGGAAAGCUAGGCCGCAAGGUCCGGCACUCGAGGAGGAGCCUGCGUCGCAUCAGCUAGUUGGUGGGGUAAGGCCUACCAAGGCGAAGACGCGUAGCUGGUCUGAGAGGAUGAUCAGCCACACUGGGACUGAGACACGGCCCAGACUCCUACGGGAGGCAGCAGUGGGGAAUAUUGGACAAUGGGCGCAAGCCUGAUCCAGCCACGCCGCGUGAGUGAU